rnacentral:lncRNA from 1 species
AUUUUAGGGCCGCACCCAUGGCACAUGGAGGUUCCCAGGCUAAGGGUCGAAUCAGAGGUGUAGCCACAGGCCUGUGCCACUGCUACAGCAAGGCCAUAUCUGAGCCAUGUCUGCCACCUACACCACAGCUCAUGGCAAUACCAGCCCCUUAACCCACUGAGCGAGGCCAGGGAUCAAACCCACAUCCUUGUGGAUCCUAGCUGGGUUUCUUAACCACUGAGCCAUGAAGGGAACUCCCUCAUUUCACCCAUUUCUUUCUUUCUUUCUUUUUGUGGGGGGGGGGGGCACCAGCGGCAUAUGGAGUUUCCCAGGCUAGGGGUUGAAUUGGAGCUACAGCUGCCAGCCACAGCCACAGCCACAGCAACGCAGGAUCCAAGCCGCAUCUGCAACCUACACCGCAACUCACUGCAAUGCCAGAUCCUUAACCCACUGAGUAAGGCCCAGGAUCAAACCUGCAUCCUCAUGGAUCCUAGUGGAGUUCGUUAACCUCUGAGCUAUGAAGGGAACUCCUUUUAACCUGUUUCUUUUUACUUCAUUUAAUACUUGAAAAGCAACUGAAAAAAGAGACUCUCCUUUCGCUGAAUCCACAUCCAUUAAAAGUUGAAUCCUCUAGGAGCACCAGGAGAUAGGUAAUUUCCUCUUUCAGAGCCACUUGAAACAGUCACCUUCAAGGGCUACUGUGUGGCUUCUGCAAUGACAACUGAUUCUUGAGGAUCCUUUUAAUGUCAUGUCACAGCCAAAAUGUCAUUCUCAUUUAAAAACAAAACAAAACAAAACUUCUGGGUAGGGAAGAGGAAUACCUCCACCGGCUGACAGCUAGAUGACAGAUGCCCCCCUUUGGGCCUCAGCCACCUUCUCUGGGCUCAGCAUCCUCCCCAACCCCCAUCUACCCGCUGCCUGUCCUAUCCCAAUACUUCACAUCCACAGACCUCGUCUCUGCACUGUUUCUCAAAUUCCUUGCAGCCUUUCCCCACGUCAUGCCUCUUCAUGUGCUAUCCUGCUUCCCGGAAUGCUCUGAUUCUCUUUCUCUACCUGUAAAACUCCUACCCAUACUUUAAAACCCAACCCAGAUGGCUCUUCCUCUGCAAAACCUUCCCGCUCUGCCCCCACAGUGCUCCAACACGCUUAGCAUUUAAUUACUAGCACACAACUGGGUUUCACUGUAAUUAUUUGAUUACUUCUGUCUGCUCUCCUUCCAUCUGUGCCCUUCCAUGUACCUACAACACUGUCAGUCCAAUGCAACAAAUGGUGUGUGUGUGUAUAUGCACACAUUUGUAAACACACCUGCAUGAGAAAGAAAAGUCUAUAAACCUAACAUGGUUAUGCACCAAAAUGUUAAGAGUAGUCAAUUCUGGUGGUAGGAUUACAGGUGAUUUUGUAAAUU